UGGAAGCGUCUGGAAAGGCGCGCGAUACAGGGUGACAGCCCCGUACACAAAAGCGCAUGUGCUGUGAGCUCGAUGAGUAGGGCGGGACACGUGGUAUCCUGUCUGAAUAUGGGGGGACCAUCCUCCAAGGCUAAAUACUCCUGACUGACCGAUAGUGAACCAGUACCGUGAGGGAAAGGCGAAAAGAACCCCGGCGAGGGGAGUGAAAAAGAACCUGAAACCGUGUACGUACAAGCAGUGGGAGCACCCUUCGGGGUGUGACUGCGUACCUUUUGUAUAAUGGGUCAGCGACUUAUAUUCUGUAGCAAGGUUAACCGUAUAGGGGAGCCGGAGGGAAACCGAGUCUUAAUUGGGCGUUAAGUUGCAGGGUAUAGACCCGAAACCCGGUGAUCUAGCCAUGGGCAGGUUGAAGGUUGGGUAACACUAACUGGAGGACCGAACCGACUAAUGUUGAAAAAUUAGCGGAUGACCUGUGGCUGGGGGUGAAAGGCCAAUCAAACCGGGAGAUAGCUGGUUCUCCCCGAAAGCUAUUUAGGUAGCGCCUCGUGAAUUCAUCUCCGGGGGUAGAGCACUGUUUCGGCUAGGGGGCCAUCCCGGCUUACCAACCCGAUGCAAACUGCGAAUACCGGAGAAUGUUAUCACGGGAGACACACGGCGGGUGCUAACGUCCGUCGUGAAGAGGGAAACAACCCAGACCGCCAGCUAAGGUCCCAAAGUCAUGGUUAAGUGGGAAACGAUGUGGGAAGGCCCAGACAGCCAGGAUGUUGGCUUAGAAGCAGCCAUCAUUUAAAGAAAGCGUAAUAGCUCACUGGUCGAGUCGGCCUGCGCGGAAGAUGUAACGGGGCUAAACCAUGCACCGAAGCUGCGGCAGCGAACGUAUCACCCAAGACAACUUUACGGAGUUGACGAUUGACGGAGCGAAGCGACGUCAAAGCGUUCAUUAAAGUCGAGUUGGCUUAGGGAUACGUUCGUUGGGUAGGGGAGCGUUCUGUAAGCCUGUGAAGGUGUGUCGUGAGGCAUGCUGGAGGUAUCAGAAGUGCGAAUGCUGACAUAAGUAACGAUAAAGCGGGUGAAAAGCCCGCUCGCCGGAAGACCAAGGGUUCCUGUCCAACGUUAAUCGGGGCAGGGUGAGUCGACCCCUAAGGCGAGGCCGAAAGGCGUAGUCGAUGGGAAACGGGUUAAUAUUCCCGUACUUGGUGUUACUGCGAAGGGGGGACGGAGAAGGCUAUGUUGGCCGGGCGACGGUUGUCCCGGUUUAAGCGUGUAGGUGUGUGUUCCAGGUAAAUCCGGUUCACUUUAACAC
rnacentral:rRNA from 1 species